AUGGCCGCGACCGCCGACGACGCCCGCCGCGCCGCCGCCGUCGCCAAGUACCGCGCCAGCCUCCUCGCCUGCCGGGAGCGCCAGUCCCUCCUCACCACAGGGGAAGAGAACCUGAAGAAGGCUAGGAAGGAGCGUGAGAUAACCGAUGAGCAUGUCAAGGCGUUUCAGUGCGUUGGGCAGAUAGUGGGAGAGGUGCUGCGCCCGCUUGCUGGCGACCGCUUUAUCGUCAAGGUUAGGAGUGGUCCUCGAUACCUUGUCAACUGUCGCAAUAAGUUGAACACAGAGAGCUUGAAAACAGGCACACGCGUGUGUCUUGACCCGAGCACACUUACAAUCGUGCGCAUGCUUCCGCGUGAGGUGGACCCUUUAGUGUUCAACAUGGUUCAUGAAGAUCCAGGGAAUGUCAGCUUCUCUGCUGUUGGAGGCCUAUCUGACCAGAUCAGGGAAAUUCGGGAGACCAUCGAGCUUCCGCUCAUGAACCCAGAACUGUUUCUCAGAGUUGGUAUUAAGCCACCCAAGGGAGUGCUCCUCUACGGCCCACCUGGAACUGGGAAGACACUGCUGGCUAGGGCUCUUGCAAGUAACAUAGAUGUGAACUUUAUUAAGGUUGUCUCAAGUGCAGUCAUUGGUAAGUAUAUUGGUGAAAGUGCUCGGAUAAUAAGGGAAAUGUUUGCGUAUGCACGUAAUCACGAGCCGUGCAUCAUCUUCAUGGAUGAAAUUGACGCACUUGGAGGAAGAAGAUUCAGUGAAGGCACAAGUGCUGAUCGUGAGAUCCAGAGGACGCUCAUGGAACUGCUAAACCAGUUAGAUGGGUUUGAUGAACUUGGAAAGGUGAAGAUAAUCAUGGCGACCAACCGUCCGGAUGUUCUAGACCCUGCUCUCUUACGUCCAGGGCGUCUGGAUCGCAAGAUUGAAAUUCCUCUUCCUAACGAACAAGCGAGGCAGGAAAUCCUCAAGAUCCAUGCAGCUGGGAUGGCCAAGCAUGGCGAAAUCGACUACGAAGCUGCUGCCAAGCUAGCAGAGGGAUUCAACGCCGCCGACUUGCGCAACAUCUGCACAGAAGCUGGCAUGGCGGCGAUCCGAGCAGAGCGUGACUACGCCAUCAACGAAGACUUCAUCAAGGGGUUGAGGAAGAUCAUGGACAUGAAGAAGCUGGAGUCGAGUGCCGACUACAAGGCGGACUUUGGCAAGGACUAG
rnacentral:rRNA from 1 species